rnacentral:rRNA from 1 species
AGGUGGUGCAUGGUUGUCGUCAGCUCGUGUCGUGAGAUGUGGGUUAAGUCCCGCAACGAGCGCAACCCUAUUGCUAGUUACCAUCAUUAAGUUGGGGACUCUAGCGAGACUGCCAGUGAUAAACUGGAGGAAGGUGGGGAUGACGUCAAAUCAUCAUGCCCCUUAUGACCUGGGCUACAAACGUGAUACAAUGGCUGGAACAAAGGGAUGCGAAGCAGUGAUGUGGAGCGAAACCCAUAAAAACAGUCUCAGUUCGGAUUGAAGUCUGCAACUCGACUUCAUGAAGUCGGAAUCGCUAGUAAUCGCGGAUCAGAACGCCGCGGUGAAUACGUUCUCGGGGUUU